rnacentral:rRNA from 1 species
CUGGGAGGACCAUCUCCUAAGGCUAAAUACUCUCUAGUGACCGAUAGUGAACCAGUACCGUGAGGGAAAGGUGAAAAGCACCCCGGAAGGGGAGUGAAAUAGAACCUGAAACCGUGUGCUUACAAGUAGUCAGAGCCCGUUAAUGGGUGAUGGCGUGCCUUUUGUAGAAUGAACCGGCGAGUUACGAUUUGAUGCAAGGUUAAGCAGUAAAUGUGGAGCCGUAGCGAAAGCGAGUCUGAAUAGGGCGUUUAGUAUUUGGUCGUAGACCCGAAACCAGGUGAUCUACCCUUGGUCAGGUUGAAGUUCAGGUAACACUGAAUGGAGGACCGAACCGACUUACGUUGAAAAGUGAGCGGAUGAACUGAGGGUAGCGGAGAAAUUCCAAUCGAACCUGGAGAUAGCUGGUUCUCUCCGAAAUAGCUUUAGGGCUAGCCUCAAGUGAUGAUUAUUGGAGGUAGAGCACUGUUUGGACGAGGGGCCCCUCUCGGGUUACCGAAUUCAGACAAACUCCGAAUGCCAAUUAAUUUAACUUGGGAGUCAGAACAUGGGUGAUAAGGUCCGUGUUCGAAAGGGAAACAGCCCAGACCACCAGCUAAGGUCCCAAAAUAUAUGUUAAGUGGAAAAGGAUGUGGCGUUGCCCAGACAACUAGGAUGUUGGCUUAGAAGCAGCCAUCAUUUAAAGAGUGCGUAAUAGCUCACUAGUCGAGUGACACUGCGCCGAAAAUGUACCGGGGCUAAACAUAUUACCGAAGCUGUGGAUUGUCCUUUGGACAAUGGUAGGAGAGCGUUCUAAGGGCGUUGAAGCAUGAUCGUAAGGACAUGUGGAGCGCUUAGAAGUGAGAAUGCCGGUGUGAGUAGCGAAAGACGGGUGAGAAUCCCGUCCACCGAUUGACUAAGGUUUCCAGAGGAAGGCUCGUCCGCUCUGGGUUAGUCGGGUCCUAAGCUGAGGCCGACAGGCGUAGGCGAUGGAUAACAGGUUGAUAUUCCUGUACCACCUAUAAUCGUUUUAAUCGAUGGGGGGACGCAGUAGGAUAGGCGAAGCGUGCGAUUGGAUUGCACGUCUAAGCAGUAAGGCUGAGUAUUAGGCAAAUCCGGUACUCGUUAAGGCUGAGCUGUGAUGGGGAGAAGACAUUGUGUCUUCGAGUCGUUGAUUUCACACUGCCGAGAAAAGCCUCUAGAUAGAAAAUAGGUGCCCGUACCGCAAACCGACACAGGUAGUCAAGAUGAGAAUUCUAAGGUGAGCGAGCGAACUCUCGUUAAGGAACUCGGCAAAAUGACCCCGUAACUUCGGGAGAAGGGGUGCUCUUUAGGGUUAACGCCCAGAAGAGCCGCAGUGAAUAGGCCCAAGCGACUGUUUAUCAAAAACACAGGUCUCUGCUAAACCGUAAGGUGAUGUAUAGGGGCUGACGCCUGCCCGGUGCUGGAAGGUU